rnacentral:rRNA from 1 species
AACGAACGCUGGCGGCGUGCCUAAUACAUGCAAGUCGAACGAGAAAGACCGGCUUCGGUUGGUCAAGUAAAGUGGCGAACGGGUGAGUAACACGUGGGCAAUCUACCUCUAAGUCUGGGAUAAUCCUUCGAAAGGAGGCUUAAUACCGGAUAACACUGCCGGAUGGCAUCAUCUGGCAUUCAAAGACGGUGCAAGCUGUCACUGAGAGAUGAGCCCGCGCUCCAUUAGCUAGUUGGCGGGGUAACGGCCCACCAAGGCUACGAUGGAUAGCCGACCUGAGAGGGUGACCGGCCACACUGGGACUGAGAUACGGCCCAGACUCCUACGGGAGGCAGCAGUAGGGAAUAUUGCGCAAUGGACGAAAGUCUGACGCAGCAACGCCGCGUGGGUGAUGACGCUUCUUGGAGUGUAAAACCCUGUCAGUGGGGACGAAACGCAUGGAGAGUAACUGCUCGAUGCCUGACGGUACCCACAGAGGAAGUCCCGGCUAACUCCGUGCCAGCAGCCGCGGUAAUAC